UACGGAGGGUGCAAGCGUUAUCCGGAUUUACUGGGUUUAAAGGGUGUGUAGGUGGCGCGCUAAGUCGGGUGUGAAAUUUCGGAGCUUAACUCCGAAACUGCAUUCGAUACUGGCGUGCUUGAGGACUGGAGAGGAGACUGGAAUUCCCGGUGUAGCGGUGAAAUGUGUAGAGAUCGGGAGGAACACCAGUGGCGAAGGCGGUUACCUGGAGCUUUGCUGACGCUGAUGCGCGAAAGCGUGGGGAGCGAUCCGG
rnacentral:rRNA from 1 species